ACAAGAUGGACUGUUGGACAGCACUGAUACUUUUAACUGUCUGUUGGGCAGGUGUUGAUGGUCAAACUCUGACAGAAUCUGAACCAGCGGUAAAAAGACCAGGAGAAUCCCACAGACUGACCUGUACAACAUCUGGAUUCACAUUCAGCAGCUACUGGAUGGCCUGGAUCAGACAGGCUCCUGGAAAAGGACUGGAGUGGAUUGCUUAUAUUAGCACUGGUGGGGGCAGCACCUACUACUCUCAGUCAGUCCAAGGCCGCUUUACCAUCUCCAGAGACAACAGCAAACAGCAGCUGUAUCUGCAGAUGAACAGCCUGAAGACUGAAGAUUCUGCUGUUUAUUACUGUGCUCGAGAUCCACAGUGA